UUAAGGGUCUGAUCCAGUCAUAAACGACACGUGGAUCCUGGGUUAAAAAAUGAUGCGUUUUGGCUUGGCUGUAAUAGCCAAAAUUUUCCCUUCUUAGUUUUCAGAUUUUCACUCUCUCUCUGACUAUCUAGUCUCUCCUUCUCUGUUUACAAAUGGGCUAGACUUCAAGCUUUCCCCAGAAACUGGUAACAGCCACUAUCACCACCGUCACCUAGUUGCCGCCGGCCGGAGUCCGUUUAUACCAAAAUUUGUCCCAUGGCUCAUCUUGAUCUCCUUAUCUUGGAUCUAGGCCCAAAUUUUUGAAAAUCUCCCUUCAACGGCCUUGAUUUGAAUAUGAAAGUCACGUCUUUCCACCAUCGUUUUAGCUUCUUUUCACCAUCUAAUCAGGUCGAUCUUUGAGUAUGUUGUUCUUCUCUUAACACUUUUCGUGUUUGUGGUUUUCGAUUCGCUAGAACCAAACCAGCGGCCGUCAACCACCAGAGUUGUAGCCGCUUCUGUUGCUACUGACCACUGACGUCUUGAAACUCUGAACACCCUCAAGAAAAUGGUUAACCCAGAUCCUCGCGUCCAACACCAAUUCACUGUCACCAUAUGCAUUGUCAAAAAUAUAUUUUUUAUUCUUUGCUUUCGUGUUGUCCCUUAUUGUCUUUGACUACUAAUCCUGUGUAUUUUGCGGAUUCCUCUUCUGUCUAUAAUUUGUUUCUUGUCGAGUAUUAUAUGCAAUGCUGAAUUAGUAUGGGUUGUUGUUGAUUUGGUUGAGGCUUUGAAUUCUUUUGGUGAUUUGUCUAGUGAAUUCGGUGUACUGGGUUUGGUGGUAUUACUAGUAUCUGGGUUUAUGUGGCAAUAGAGGUGGCGAAAUUGAUACUGACAAGGGUGUGAGGGUCUGGGAUUCGACGAUGAUAGGGAUGUGGUUGUAAUUGAAAUUGGGACUUUAGCAGCGACGGUUGUGUGUUCACAGGAGGUCGUGGCUUGUUUGAUUGUGAAAGAUUUAAGCUAUUGGUUCUGUGGUGACAAUGCCAAUGGGAAUUGCGGAGUUUGGUUAUUGAAAUAGGAGAUAAAGGAGGAUUUGUGGUGUCGAAAUUGGUUGACCUACGGUGGAUUCCAGAUGCAAUGGUGCUCUGGCAUAAUGGUGAAAUGGUAAUGAGAUAAUGAGCUGGUGUUCCAGCAGAAAUGGCAAUGGGAUAAAGGAGUUUUCUGGUGGUUUCUCCCUAUGAUUUCUGUGUGAUUUCUCUCUUGUUCUGUCUUGAGGUCAAAUCCAUUUAUAGGAG
rnacentral:lncRNA from 1 species